CCGGAGGGGUGACUAGCUACUGAAUCAUAGAAUUUCUUUAAAUUCAUGAUGUCGUAAGGGAAAAUAAUGAUAUUACCUUACUAUGAGUGUCGUCCAAAGCUGGUGCCAGAAGACUCGGUAAGACCAGAGACGCAAACGUUAAUCAUCUUAAACAGGCGUAAAGGGUUUGUAGGCAGCUUUCAUAAUAUUAUUUCUUACAAAAAUAAAGAAGUGGUCUGAUUGAAAGCUAGAAUCAAAAAGAGGUUAUAGUGUAUAACGCCUAGAGGAGGGCUGAUAUCCUUAGAUCCUAGGCAGAAUACUUAGGGCGAAGGCCACUCUCCACUAAUGAUUGACGCUGAGAAACGAAGGUAAGGGUAGGAAAUAGGAUUAGAUACCCCGGUACUCCUUUCUGUAAACGAUGAAUGGUAGUCAUUAGUAAAAUUAACUAGAGACGAAGUUAACACAAUAACCAUUCCGCCUUGUGAGUACUACUGCAAAGUAGAAAACAAAAAAAUUAGUCGGUCUCGAAGCAAACGGAGUGAAGCAUGUUAUUUAAUUA
rnacentral:rRNA from 1 species